rnacentral:rRNA from 1 species
UACGGAGGGUGCGAGCGUUGUCCGGAAUCACUGGGCGUAAAGGGCGCGUAGGCGGCCCGACAAGCGUGGGGUGAAAGUCCGGGGCUCAACCCCGGAUCGGCCUCGCGAACUGCCGGGCUGGAGCACUGUAGGGGCGGGUGGAAUUCCGGGUGUAGCAGUGAAAUGCGUAGAGAUGCGGAGGAACACCGAUGGCGAAGGCAGCCCCCUGGGCCAACACUGACGCUCAGGCACGAAAGCGUGGGAGCAAACAGG